CCUCUUCAGCUCAUGGCCAGCAGCUACCAGAACUGACCCCAAAGGUGGCUGCAUGGCAGCAGCAGUCAGUAUGAUCAUUAAAGCACUGUGGGAUGUGAGGCAUAUGCCAAAGCACAUGGCCUGAGUUCUGCGUUUCCACUGUUGGCAGCAAGAUCAGAGAAGACACAGAUGAAACACCACGCAGCAAAGACCGGAGCCACAGUGAUGGGAAGCAGCAUGCAGCAGAUAUGCCAACCCCCUCUGCACGGGCUCUCCUCUUGUCUCCCUGCCACUUCCUGCGAGAUUAAUGCCGGGAGUGCACAGCAAAUGCCCCAGCAGAAAUAAACACUUCCCCCUGCAGCUGGGAUUUCCAACAAGCUCUGCGGAUACUUUCCUCUGUAGCAAAGCCAAGAGCUCCCAGGACGUGGUGGGGGUGCUUUGUACUGUACAGCACUUCCAAACAGGAGGAUUGCGUGGAUUUAUGGGCACUCCAGGUAAUAUUUCUGCCGCAGGGCUUGGAAGGAGAAAAUUCAAUCACAUGGCAUCUUAUUUUCAGAUGCUUCCAGUAUCUUUUCCUGUGGCUGCUUUGCAGCAGCAACACCCGCACUCUUCCUUCCUUGUACUUUAACAUUUGGAGCAUCUCCUCGAUUUCUUCAGCCUCAGACUGGCACAGCCAUCUUUCCUUUGUCUCUGGAGUCCUCUUUGGACAGUGCUGACUUUCUGCAUAUAGCAAGAGUCUCCCAAAUCAGCUAGACACGCAGCCUGGACCCACACUGUGCCUCAGAGCGGUUCUGUGAAAAGAGGCUCGGGGGGUAGCAGGUUGAACUGCGGACCCUGAUUCAGCCCUGAUUAGCAGGAAGGACUGGGAGUGUGAGCGUGGCAUCCCAAAGCACAGGUGUUUUACCUGGGGAUAUGCACAAGUGCAAAGAGUCCAGUGGCUGGAAAAGGAGGAUGCAGCACAGGAGACUUCGGCUUUGUUUUUCUCUGCCACUGACAUCCUUGUAUGACUUGAGUCACAUCACUUUGGUUCGUAGGUGCAGAGGGAGGGUAAAACCCAUUUCUGAAAAGCACUUUGGAAGGGGGCAGUCAAGCAGCGUCAGCAUGGUUGGAAAGGAAAGCCUCAGAAGGCAUCUGGUCAAACAUCUCAAAAGCCACCGGUCCCUUGAACCUUGGAGUCGGAGGACACUCGGCACCACUCAGAGUUGGGUCGCAACGCCUCCUACCUGGAUGGUCUGUGGCAGAAAUAGCUGGUUAACAAACCACAGGCCCAGCAGGAUGCAACGACAGAGAAAUCCGUGGGUUCUCUUGCAGCUGGGGCCAAUGCCACGAGGCCCUGGUCAGGAGAACUCAGGACACCACAUCUACCUCCCCGUGGCUAUGUGCAAAGCAGAAACAAGCAAAUGAUGCCAGUGACAAUGGUCAUGGUGAAGAGCACGCUGGCUGGGGUCACCACCCUGGGUGAGCAGCACUUCCUCGGUCCUGUGGCGACUGUUCAUUCUGCCUCUCUGCUAGCCUGAAGGUCCAAUCAGCCUUCCAGUGACCACGCAGGCUCCCCAGCAAUGGUAUUUCUUUUUCCCGUUCCAGCAUCCAGACGUAUGUAUUGUGAGGCCCUUACUUUCCCCUACCUGCACUGAUAUCCCCUUGUGUGUGCCAGCUUUCUGCCUAUGAGAGGGAUGUGCUCAGGAGCAAAGGAUUUUGCUUUGCUGUGGCUGUGACCAGGGGAAGGGAGCACUAAUAAACGUCUAGAGGGCA